rnacentral:rRNA from 1 species
GGGGGGGGGGGGGGGGGGGGGGGGGGGGGGCGGGGCGGGCGGCGGGGCGGUGGGGGCUGGCGCUGGCGGGGGGCGAGUGGCGGGCGGGGGGGGACUCCAUCGGACUCUCCUUUUUCGUUGGGGCUACCGUAGGGAACCUUACGCUCAUCCCGCCGACGACCUGCGGGUGACCGCCGUGGCUCUUCGGACCUUGCCCGCUUCUCUGCGCCGAUGUCGGGUUAGCUAGUUGGAGGGUUAAACGCCCAACCCGGCGCCGAUCCGUAGCUGGUCUGAGAGGAUAAUCAGCGACACUGGAACAGAGACACGGUCCAGAAUCCUACGGGAAGCAGCAGUGGGGAAUAUUGGACAAUGGGCGCAAGCCUGAUCCAGCCAUACCGCGUGGGUGAAGAAGGCCUUCGGGUUGUAAAGACCUUUUGUUGGGAAAGAAAAGCAGCAGGUUAAGACCCCGCUGUUCUGACGGUACCCAAAGAAUAAGCACCGGCUAACUUCGUG